UACGUAGGUGACCAGCGUUGUCCGGAUUUACUGGGCGUAAAGAGCGCGCAGGCGGUCGUUCAAGUCGAGUGUGAAAGCCCCCGGCUCAACUGGGGAGGGUCACUCGAUACUGAUCGACUGGAAGGCAGGAGAGGGAAGCGGAAUUCCCGGUGUAGUGGUGAAAUGCGUAGAUAUCGGGAGGAACACCAGUGGCGAAGGCGACUUCCUGGCCUGUUCUUGACGCUGAGGCGCGAAAGCUAGGGGAGCAAACGGG
rnacentral:rRNA from 1 species